GUGUGUGUGUGUGUGUGUGUUGGGGGGAAGGUUGGUUACAGAAAGAAGAGCAUCUUGAAGCAAAUAUAUUGUCUGUUUUAAAUUGUAUCCUCAUAGUACCACACUGGAAAUUUUCGUAAUGUACUCAUUGAAGAACAUUGAGUCAAAGAACUUAAUAACUGGGAAGGACAUUCUGUUGUACAUAAGGUCUUCAUAAGUAGGAGUUGAUUCAAUGGAGCAUAAUAACAACAACAAUAAAUGAUGGAGAGGAUGUAAAGGAAGACUUUCCCUUUGAUAAUCAGAAGGAUUAAAAGGCUUCCUGGCCAGGACCAGAAAUUGGAAAGGUUUUCUUGCCAAACUUUAUCAGAACGUUCUCGUACUCUCUGACCCUUAAGUCUUAGACGGAAGCUGGAAGAAGAGAGGAAAAAGGAGACAGAAGGAGGAGUGAGAAAGCAAAAAGAUUUGGAACAGAGGAGAACCAUCUAAGAACUCCAGGGGCUUACACAGUUCAACAAAGGACACCUCCUCCAAAAGGUAAGAACACCUGGUUCUGUCUGUUGGCUGCCACUGUCCCUGGCCCUGCCGUUGCUCUUCACUGCCACAUGGUGCCACUGCUGAAUGCUGGCAUAGGCCAGAGUGGCUUUCUUCAGGAGGGUAAAUCUCA